UACGUAGGGUGCAAGCGUUAUCCGGAAUUAUUGGGCGUAAAGAGCUCGUAGGCGGUUUGUCGCGUCUGCCGUGAAAACUGGAGGCUCAACCUCCAGCCUGCGGUGGGUACGGGCAAACUAGAGUGCGGUAGGGGAGAUUGGAAUUCCUGGUGUAGCGGUGGAAUGCGCAGAUAUCAGGAGGAACACCGAUGGCGAAGGCAGAUCUCUGGGCCGACACUGACGCUGAUGCGCGAAAGCCAGGGGAGCGAACGGG
rnacentral:rRNA from 1 species